rnacentral:rRNA from 1 species
UACGUAGGGUGCAAGCGUUGUCCGGAAUUAUUGGGCGUAAAGAGCUCGUAGGCGGUCUGUCGCGUCGGCUGUGAAAACCUGGGGCUUAACUCCGGGCCUGCAGCCGAUACGGGCAGACUAGAGUUCGGCAGGGGAGACUGGAAUUCCUGGUGUAGCGGUGAAAUGCGCAGAUAUCAGGAGGAACACCGGUGGCGAAGGCGGGUCUCUGGGCCGAAACUGACGCUGAGGAGCGAAAGCGUAGGGAGCAAACAGG